rfam:Mycobacterium sp. NAZ190054 Contig_36, whole genome shotgun sequence.
UGCGCACCGAUGCCCUAGGAUGAGGACGUUCGUCCCGUGGCGAAGGAACCCGGUGGGAAUCCGGGGCGGUUCCGCCACUGUGUAGGUUGCCUGACCGGAAUGACGGGUGACCUGAAGCCAGAUACUGGUCACGGGACAUCCGAAGAC